rnacentral:lncRNA from 1 species
CCUGUUCAAUAUCAGUACCAAGUGUUUCGUGUUUAUAUUUUAUGUAAAAAUCAGAAUUUUCUACAUAGAAGCUUAUAACUGCAGUCUACCUGUUAGUGCAUUUGAACUGAUGGGAUGGUAUAUCUGACUUUGAGUACAUUUUGCUAGAGGCAAAAGGCCAUUGCUUAAUAGGCUGAGAGGCCCAACUGCAUUUCCGUUGGUUCUUGGGUAGUCUGGAAAUGAAGGCAUCCAUUUUACACUCAUUAAAGUGUUUUACCAUAAACGAUGAGAUAAAUAAAUAAACCCAUCAUAGGUAUCCUGAAAGUUUCUAGUGGUUUGUCAUUCCAGUACUGAUUUCUGAGGUUUUUAGUAGUUUUAAGUCCA